CCUUGACCUCAAAUCGGGUGAGACUACCCGCUAG
rnacentral:rRNA from 1 species